rnacentral:rRNA from 1 species
UGCCUAAUACAUGCAAGUCGAACGGACCGAAGGGAAAGCUUGCUUUUCCUGAAGUCAGUGGCGAACGGGUGAGUAACACGUAGGUAACCUGCCCAUGUGCCCGGGACAACGCCUGGAAACGGGUGCUAAAACCGGAUAGGUAGAGAGAUCGCAUGAACUUUCUAUUAAAGGGGCUACAGCCCUGAACAUGGAUGGACCUGCGGUGCNUUAGCUAGUUGGUGAGGUAACGGCCCACCAAGGCNACGAUGCAUAGCCGACCUGAGAGGGCGANCGGCCNCAUUGGGACUGACACACGGCCCAAACUCCUACGGGAGGCAGCAGUANGGAAUUUUCNUCAAUGGGGGGAACCCUGAACGA